rnacentral:lncRNA from 1 species
AUGAGGACUCUGGAUUACUUGGAAUAAAGAAAGACAAGGAAGAGAAAGCUAAUUAACAGGCUGAAAAGAGGAGAAAAAUAUCACCGAUGGAUUGCACCAUGUAUGUACGUGUAUAUAUACAGUGAGGUUUGAAAGGGAGGCCGGUGAUAAUUUCCAGCUUUAACAAAUAGAAGUAAUCCUGGCUACUGUGCAUAGUAGGUAUGUAUAUAUCUUGGCCAUUGAAGACAUUGUCAUUGACAUUCUCCCGGAGGAU